GACGAACGCUGGCGGCGUGCCUAAUACAUGCAAGUCGAGCGAAGCGGCGGAUGGGUGAGUAACGCGUGGGUAAGCGGCACUUAAGGCUGGGAGACCCUUUGGAAACAGAUGCUCAUACCGGAAAAUGAAGGUAGGACAUGGGAUGGAUUAGCUAGUUGGGAAGGUAACGGCUUACCAAGGGGAGGAUGCAUAGCCGGGUUGAGAGGCUGAUCGGCCACAUUGGGACUGAGACACGGCCCAGACUCCUACGGGAGGCAGCAGUAGGGAAUCUUGCACAAUGGACGAAAGUCUGAUGCAGCAACGCCGCGUGAGUGAAGAAGGUUUUCGGAUCGUAAAGCUCUGUUGUUGGUGAAGCGUUAAUCAACCAGAAAGUCACGGCUAACUACGUGCCAGCAGCCGCGGUAAUUC
rnacentral:rRNA from 1 species